ACGGUAAUACCGCAUAAUGUAUUUUGACCGCAUGAUCGAAAUACCAAAGAUUUAUCGCUGAAGGAUGGACUCGCGUCGGAUUAGGUAGUUGGUGGGGUAACGGCCUACCAAGCCGACGAUCAGUAGCCGGACUGAGAGGUUGAUCGGCCACAUUGGGACUGAGACACGGCCCAGACUCCUACGGGGGGCAGCAGUGGGGAAUAUUGCACAAUGGGCGCAAGCCUGAUGCAGCAACGCCGCGUGAAGGAAGACGGUUUUCGGAUUGUAAACUUCUGUUCUUAGUGAAGAAUAAUGACGGUAGCUAAGGAGCAAGCCACGGCUAACUACGUGCCAGCAGCCGCGGUAAUACGUAGGUGGCAAGCGUUGUCCGGAAUUACUGGGUGUAAAGGGAGCGCAGGCGGGUGAUCAAGUCAGCUGUGAAAACUACGGGCUUAACCCGUAGACUGCAGUUGAAACUGUUCAUCUUGAGUGAAGUAGAGGUUGGCGGAAUUCCGAGUGUAGCGGUGAAAUGCGUAGAUAUUCGGAGGAACAC
rnacentral:rRNA from 1 species